UCUCCGUUGGUGAACCAGCGGAGGGAUCAUUACAGGACUCGCAAGACCCCUACAACCCUGAGAACCGAACCAUAAGAACGUUGCUUCGGCGGGCGGUCCGGAGCGGGGUCGCGCCGCCCGACACGCUAAACCCGCCCGCAGACUACUGUACUUAGCCGCCUUGCGUCUGCAUUUCGAGUACAAAAAAAAAAGUUAAAACAUCCAACAACGGAACUCUUGGUUCUGGGAUCGAAGAAGAAAGCAGCAGAACGGAAGAGCAUACGUCCGAACUCCAGACAC
rnacentral:misc_RNA from 1 species